UACGGAGGAUCCAAGCGUUAUCCGGAUUUAUUGGGUUUAAAGGGUGCGUAGGCGGCCUAUUAAGUCAGGGGUGAAAGACGGUAGCUUAACUAUCGCAGUGCCUUUGAUACUGAUGGGCUUGAAUACACUAGAGGUAGGCGGAAUGUGACAAGUAGCGGUGAAAUGCAUAGAUAUGUCACAGAACACCGAUUGCGAAGGCAGCUUACUAUGGUUUUAUUGACACUGAGGCACGAAAGCGUGGGGAUCAAACAGG
rnacentral:rRNA from 1 species